GAAAUGAAACCAGGCUCUUCCAGGAUAUGUUCCCAGCUCUCCUAAAGAAGCAGAUCCAUUAGGCACUGUCAAUAGUGCCUUCUCAUUGCCUCUGAUGGCUCUGUUUCUACUCUUGCCUGGCAGCUCACAGCUGGAAGAUGUUAAAAGGGUAGGAUAGCUGAAAUUUAGUGGUCUUCAGACACCCAAAAUGAACUCCUUUAGGUCAAAUAUAAUUCAUACUAAGAAACAGGAUUUUGAGCCCUCUGCUGAGAAGCUCCUGGGAAGGACAGAUCAUUUCUAUAGAAUAGCAGUGGCUUGGUUUGUUAACAUGAGAGGUAAUAGAAGUGCAGCUAUACGGGGAGAUCCUGAAAGUAGCCCUACAGUAAGAGAACUCAGAAUAUAGGUUGUAUUUUGAGCUCAGACUAAUUGUACACAACCCGAUAACUGGGGUUAUGACUGACUAUGAUGGUGUCCUUCCUAGUUUAUUCACACAUAAGCUCCAAAUCAGGUCCUGUAUUUCCUGCAUAAUCUAUAAGCAGUGUCACUAGAAUGUGGCUACAGACAUCUCCCCCCACAUCCACUGGGCAUCACCACUGAGGACCUUGACCCAGUGUCACACACUCUGGGUGCCACUCACAAGAGCAAGGUAGGAAGGAAGAUGUGCUUUGAAAACCUUUGAAAGCACUUAGACUAACUUGCUUCUUCUGGAAAUCAAACCUAUGUGGUCUUAUUAAUUAGAAUGUAGAUUUAUUAGACAGUAAUGUGAUGACAAAAGUCAUUGAAGGAGAAGAGAGAAAAAAUAUCUUCAGGGAGCAUAUACUAGAAAGAUUAAAGACACUGUGAGCGAAAAACAGUUCUGUUUUCUCUUUCCCAGAGCACUUGCCUUGUGCUGUCAUUAUGCUUGCCAAGGCUUGCAAGGAUUGCCAACAUCUCCCUGCAGCCAUCGCAUCUCUUUAUAUUGACAGAGGAUAAAACCACACCUGAGCUCACACUAUUUCAGGCAUUUUCCUUGGAAAUUUUUGUCUCUGUUGCACAAACAUUUCAUUUAGAGGAAGUGGGAGGAAAUCUGCCUUUGGAUAAUAAUGGUUACGAUACAAUAACUGUAAAAUGGAUAAUAACAGCAACCGACUAGUACUGGCCAGGGGGCUGAUAAUUCAACUUUGCGGCAACUUCUGAGGUUUUACAAUUUGUUUUCAUUUUACAGUGGAAUGAAAACAGAACCUUCACAUAUUAUGUUUUCAAUUUAAGUCUUUCUUGCUGCACUGUCAGAAAUAACUAGAGUGCCCUGGACCUCAAGAAUUUGUCCUUCCAAGUAUUUAAAAAAUGCUUCAACUUCCAUGAAUCAGCAAUUUUCUUGGUGGGAUAGUUCAUCGAAAAUGCUCUGGCCAGAACUUUUGCUAACCCUGAAAGUUCAAAAUCAUGUCUCAAACCCCAAAACAUAGUUGCUAUGAAUAACUUGUUUUAUGGUUUACGGAUUGUUUCUGGACUGUCUUCUCUUAAGUAUACCUUUUCCCUCCAUCCUCUAAAGAUGUACAUCUGUUUCCCACCCUCCUCCACUAUUUUCUCCCAUUUUCUUGUGCUUUUAUUUUUUCUCAUGCAGCUUCUGGGCUCUUUUGACCUUUCCUAGGUUACACACAAACAGCAAUGCUGAGAUAUAUUUUUUUUAUGGUAUGCUGUGGCAGGGAUUUGCCAGGAAAGCGGUGGCUGCUGGACGGUCUCUGCAACAGAUAGUGGUCACUGCAGGGUGGUCCCACUACCUUCCUGCAAAUCCCUGUCUGGCUGCUCUUUGGUUUUCAUUCUUCUCAGAUGGCAUUUUCCAUCAGGCAGAGCUGACAUCCGUGAGAAGGCAGAAACAUCUGCUGUUAUGCCCUGGCCGGCUGCCGCCCUCACCAGCUCAGCAGUGCUUGAGGAAAUCCGAAGAGCCACACGGUGGGAAGACCCUAUUCUUCAGAGAAAAAGAAAAAGAAAAGGAAAAAAAAAAGAAAAAGAAAAAGCAGAGUGGAAAAUAAAUAUGCAGAAAAGGAAAUGCAUUGAUUCAUUCUGAAAGAUGGAGGGAACAGCAGAAAGGGGAUCAAGAGCUGGAAUGAUUUCAUGUGAUGCAAGGUACAAGUGGUGCUGCUCACGGAAUGGGUCUCAAGCAACCGGGCCCCAGAGUUAGAAAAGGACCUUGACUCUACGCCUAGUUAUUGGAGGAAAACACACGGAGGUAAGCCAGCCAGUCUUGAAACAGAGCUGGGGAGGUUGCUCAGAAAUAGAGAGCGUCCGAGAUGGGAAGGGUCUGGCCUUUGAGGACAGAGCUGCUCACAGCAGCUGGAUGGCUGCCCGCUCUGGAACUGGAGCAUGGGACAGUUUAUGAACUUAAAGCACAUUUUCCAACCUUAUGGGAUUUUCCUUAUGAUCUGUUC